rnacentral:rRNA from 1 species
UACGGGGGGGGCAAGCGUUGUUCGGAAUUACUGGGCGUAAAGGGCUCGUAGGCGGCCAACUAAGUCGGACGUGAAAUCCCCAGGCUCAACCUGGGAACUGCGUCCGAUACUGGAUGGCUUGAAUCCGGGAGAGGGAUGCAGAAUUCGAGGUGUAGCGGUGAAAUGCGUAGAUAUCUGGAGGAAUACCGGUGGCGAAGGCGGCAUCCUGGACCGGCAUUGACGCUGAGGAGCGAAAGCCAGGGGAGCAAACGGG